rnacentral:rRNA from 1 species
CCUACGGGAGGCAGCAGUGGGGAAUAUUGGGCAAUGGGCGAAAGCCUGACCCAGCGACGCCGCGUGAGUGAUGAAGGCCCUCGGGUCGUAAAACUCUGUCAUGCGGGACGAACAGCCUGAGCUCUAACAGGGUUCAGGCCUGACGGUACCGCAGGAGGAAGCCCCGGCUAACUCCGUGCCAGCAGCCGCGGUAACACGGAGGGGGCGAGCGUUAUUCGGAAUUAUUGGGCGUAAAGGGCAGGCAGGCUGCCUCGUAUGUCUCCUGUGAAAGCCCUCGGCUUACCCGAGGAACUGCAGGAGAAACUGCGAGGCUUGAGUCCGGGAGAGGGUAGUGGAAUUCCCAGUGUAGCGGUGAAAUGCGUAGAUAUUGGGAGGAACACCAGUGGCGAAGGCGGCUACCUGGACCGGUACUGACGCUGAACUGCGAAAGCCAGGGGAGCGAACGGGAUUAGAUACCCCGGUAGUCCUGGCUGUAAACGAUGGACACUUGGUGUGGCGGGUAUCGACCCCUGCCGUGCCGGAGCUAACGUGUUAAGUGUCCCGCCUGGGGAGUACGGUCGCAAGGCUGAAACUCAAAUGAAUGACGAAUCGUCGACCGCCCGGCCCC